GAUCUGUAUCCGGCCUGAGAGGGCGCACGGACACACUGGAACUGAAACACGGUCCAGACUCCUACGGGAGGCAGCAGUGGGGAAUAUUGGACAAUGGGCGAAAGCCUGAUCCAGCAAUGCCGCGUGAGUGAUGAAGGCCUUAGGGUUGUAAAGCUCUUUUACCAGGGAUGAUAAUGACAGUACCUGGAGAAUAAGCACCGGCUAACUCCGUGCCAGCAGCCGCGGUAAUACGGAGGGUGCAAGCGUUAAUCGGAAUUACUGGGCGUAAAGCGCGCGUAGGCGGUUUAUUAAGUCAGAUGUGAAAGCCCCGGGCUCAACCUGGGAAUUGCAUUUGAGACUGGUAGGCUAGAGUGUGGUAGAGGUGAGUGGAAUUUCAGGUGUAGCGGUGAAAUGCGUAGAGAUCUGAAGGAACAUCAGUGGCGAAGGCGACUCACUGGGCCAUUACUGACGCUGAGGUGCGAAAGCGUGGGUAGCAAACAGGAUUAGAUACCCUGGUAGUCCACGCCCUAAACGAUGUCAACUAGGUGUAUGGAGAAUUUAUUCUUUGUGUAUCGAAGCUAACGCGAUAAGUUGACCGCCUGGGGAGUACGGUCGCAAGACUAAAACUCAAAUGAAUUGACGGGGGCCCGCACAAGCGGUGGAGCAUGUGGUUUAAUUCGA
rnacentral:rRNA from 1 species